rnacentral:lncRNA from 1 species
CUACUGAACAACAGAUUCCUGACUAAGGACAGGUGCAAACAAAUGCAGUUAGGUUAGCGUGUAUAUACGUACCAUAGACUCAAUAUAAAAUAUAAACACGAUUUUGACACAAUAUUGUUACAUUGCUAUGUGAACAAUUUAAACAGAAAAGUAUAUAUAAAAAGGAGAGGUGGUAUGAUUGCAAAUAAGUCAAAUUUCCAGUACAUACAUACUAAAUGGCACAUCUAUAGAUAACCGUAUGGUCUUUAACAUUGUGCAAAGUUUAUAUCGCAUAGUUAACAAUAAAAGACGCCGACAUGACAAAUGGAAAACAAUUUAAACUAUAUAACUAACUGUUUAACUUAUUUAAAAACAAAA